rnacentral:misc_RNA from 1 species
GAUGAAGAACGUAGCGAAAUGCGAUAAGUAAUGUGAAUUGCAGAAUUCAGUGAAUCAUCGAAUCUUUGAACGCACAUUGCGCCUGCCAGUACUCUGGCGGGCAUGCCUGUUCGAGCGUCAUUUCAACCAUCAAGCCCCAGGCUUGUGUUGGGGACCUGCGGCUGCCGCAGGCCCUGAAAACCAGUGGCGGGCUCGCUGUCACACCGGGCGUAGUAGAUUUUAUCUCGCUCUGGGCGUGCUGCGGGUUCCGGCCGUUAAAAAGCCUUUUUUACCCAAGGUUGACCUCGGAUCAGGUAGGAAGACCCGCUGAACUUAAGCAUAUCAAUAAGCGGAGGA